rfam:Triticum urartu cultivar G1812 contig567252, whole genome shotgun sequence.
GAAAUAAUCCCUCCGUUCGGAAUUACUUGUCUCGAAAAUGGAUGUAUCUAGAUGUAUUUUAGUUUUAGAUACAUCCAUUUCCGAGACAAGUAAUUCCGAACGGAGAGAGUACAAC